rnacentral:rRNA from 1 species
CUACGGGUCGCUCCAGUGAGGAAUAUUGCGCAAUGGGGGGAACCCUGAUGCAGCAACGCCGCGUGGAGGAUGACGCAUUUCGGUGUGUAAACUCCUUUUAUAUGUCAAGAAAAUGACGGUAGCAUAUGAAUAAGCACCGGCUAACUCCGUGCCAGCAGCCGCGGUAAUACGGAGGGUGCAAGCGUUACUCGGAAUCACUGGGCGUAAAGGACGCGUAGGCGGGCUGGAAAGUUAGGUGUGAAAUCCUACAGCUUAACUGUAGAACUGCACUUGAAACUUCUAAUCUAGAGUAUGGGAGGGGGAGAUGGAAUUAGUGGUGUAGGGGUAAAAUCCGUAGAUAUCACUAGGAAUACCUAAAGCGAAGGCGAUCUCCUGGAACAUUACUGACGCUAAGGCGUGAAAGCGUGGGGAGCAAACAGGAUUAGAUACCCUCGUAGUC